GCCAGUAGUCAUAUGCUUGUCUCAAAGAUUAAGCCAUGCAUGUCUAAGUUCACACCCUCGUACGGUGAAACCGCGAAUGGCUCAUUAAAUCAGUCGAGGUUCCUUAGAUGAUCCAAAUUUACUUGGAUAACUGUGGUAAUUCUAGAGCUAAUACAUGCCAACCAGCUUCGACCCGUCCCGCAAGGGCUGGGAAAGAGCGCUUUUAUUAGUUCAAAACCAGUCGGGUCCUCACAAGGGGCUCGUCCGUUGGUGACUCUGGAUAACUUUUUGCCGAUCGCAUGGCCUCGAGCCGGCGACGCAUCUUUCAAAUGUCUGCCCUAUCAAAUGACGAUGGUACGUGAUCUGCCUACCAUGUUGGCAACGGGUAGCGGGGAAUCAGGGUUCGAUUCCGGAGAGG
rnacentral:rRNA from 4 species